rnacentral:tRNA from 1 species
GGGUCGAAGCCCAGUGGUGGAGUGCUUGCCUCGCACGUGAGAGGUACUGAGUUGGAUCCUCAGCACUGUCCA